rnacentral:rRNA from 1 species
AGUGGGGAAUUUUGCGCAAUGGGCGAAAGCCUGACGCAGCGACGUCGCGUGAGGGAAGAAGGCUCUAGGGUCGUAAACCUCUGUCGAGGGGGAAGAAUGUCCGAAUGGUUAAUAUCCAUAUGGAGUGACGGUACCCCUUAAGGAAGCAUCGGCUAACUACGUGCCAGCAGCCGCGGUAAUACGUAGGAUGCAAGCGUUGCUCGGAUUUAUUGGGUGUAAAGGGCUCGCAGGUGGUCAUGUAAGUCAUAGGUGAAAGCCCUCGGCUUAACCGAGGAACUGCCUAUGAUACUGCAUGACUUGAGUACUGGAGAGGAAAGCGGAAUUCCUGGUGUAGCGGUGAAAUGCGUAGAUAUCAGGAGGAACACCGGUGGCGAAGGCGGCUUUCUGGACAGAUACUGACACUGAGGAGCGAAAGCGUGGGUAGCAAACAGGAUUAGAUACCCUGGUAGUCCACGCCCUAAACGAUGGGUACUAGGUGUGAGGACGAAUUAAAGUCUUCGUGCCGAAGCU